GACAGAGGCCCCAAGCGUUAGGCGGAAUCACUGGGCUUAAAGCGUGUGUAGGCGGAUCGUUAAGUGUCUUGUGAAAUCCCGCGGCUCACCCGUGGAACGGCUGGGCAUACUGGCGAUCUUGGGCCAACUAGGGGCAGUCGGAACAAGCGGUGGAGCGGCGAAAUGCGUAGAGAUCGGGAGGAACACCGGUGGCGAAGGCGGGACUCUGGGCCUACCCUGACGCUGAGGCGCGAAGGCGUGGGGAGCAAACGGG
rnacentral:rRNA from 1 species